CGGGUCUAGUGGCGCACGGGUGCGUAACGCGUGGGAAUCUGCCCUUGGGUUCGGAAUAACUUCGGGAAACUGAAGCUAAUACCGGAUGAUGACGUAAGUCCAAAGAUUUAUCGCCCAAGGANNNNCCCGCGUAGGAUUAGCUAGUUGGUGAGGUAAAGGCUCACCAAGGCGACGAUCCUUAGCUGGUCUGAGAGGAUGAUCAGCCACACUGGGACUGAGACACGGCCCAGACUCCUACGGGAGGCAGCAGUGGGGAAUAUUGGACAAUGGGCGAAAGCCUGAUCCAGCAAUGCCGCGUGAGUGAUGAAGGCCUUAGGGUUGUAAAGCUCUUUUACCCGGGAUGAUAAUGACAGUACCGGGAGAAUAAGCUCCGGCUAACUCCGUGCCAGCAGCCGCGGUAAUACGGAGGGAGCUAGCGUUGUUCGGAAUUACUGGGCGUAAAGCGCACGUAGGCGGCUUUGUAAGUUAGAGGUGAAAGCCUGGAGCUCAACUCCAGAAUUGCCUUUGAUACUGCAUCGCUUGAAUCCAGGAGAGGUGAGUGGAAUUCCGAGUGUAGAGGUGAAAUUCGUAGAUAUUCGGAAGAACACCAGUGGCGAAGGCGGCUCACUGGACUGGUAUUGACGCUGAGGUGCGAAAGCGUAGGGAGCAAACAGGAUUAGAUACCCUGGUAGUCCACGCCGUANACGAUGAUAACUAGCUGUC
rnacentral:rRNA from 1 species